rnacentral:rRNA from 1 species
UACGAAGGGGGCUAGCGUUGCUCGGGAUCACUGGGCGUAAAGCGCACGUAGGCGGAUUGCUAAGUCAGGGGUGAAAUCCAGGAGCUCAACUCCAGAACUGCCUUUGAUACUGGCGAUCUUGAGUCCGGGAGAGGUGAGUGGAACUGCGAGUGUAGAGGUGAAAUUCGUAGAUAUUCGCAAGAACACCAGUGGCGAAGGCGGCUCACUGGCCCGGUACUGACGCUGAGGUGCGAAAGCGUGGGGAGCAAACAGG